CUUUCUCAGGACCCUACUCUGGAAGCAUGAGCCACAUUGGACAACUGGGCAACUCUGCAUCCCCAGAAACAAGACAGCACCUGGCAAUUUGUUUUAAAGAGUUAUAGCUGCAAAAGAGCCUCCAAAUGUUUGCCUGCAUGAACGAAUUUGGCGUCCCGAGGCUAGGACGGGACUCGGCAUCCAAAGAUUUCAACUCGGGACUCUACCACUGACAGCCUGUGUGACCUCGGGCAGGUCCCGUCAGCUCUGUGUGACUCACUUUCCUCAUUUGUAAGAUGGGGGUAAAUACACUUUCCAAACUCUGUGAAGUGGCCUGAGAUCUGUGAGUAGCACCACGUUAAUAGUUCCCGGGUUGUAGGUCCAGCCCCUCAGAGUAGUGAGGCUCAAUUGAAGUUAGGCACCUAAACACCAUUUGACUAUCUGGGCUGUAAUUCCUAGAACAGCAGAGAGCACGUGGGCCUAAAUUACAGUGACCAAGUGAAGCCAAAUAGUAGCGGAGAAGAGAGAAAUUACAAGCCUGGGCAAAGAAGGACAAACGUGUUUUCAGCUUAGUUGGGAAGGAGACAGAAAGAGAGAGACACAUACAGUUCCAGAUGGCAGAAGCAGCCGAGCACAGACAUCGACAUGCACCGCCUUUAGCGCUGCAUUGAGCCAGCACACGGUCGCCCGGGGCUGGGGGUAUUUUUGCCAGGAGUUAAUAGGGAGAGAGGCAGAACCAAGGGGAAGGCAAAAAUAAGGAUGUGUUUGUUUCACCCCAAAAUGCAGGGGAAGAGGGUCAACAGCUGAGUAGUGACUCCGCAGCUUGGAGCAAAGAGCUUUAUCAGUGUAUAGCAGCUUGACGCCCAAAGCCUGUGAUGCAGCUAGGGUUUGAUGCAGCUAGAUGUCCUGAUUUGAUAGGGAGAGUCCCGAUAUUCAGGGCUUAUAUAGGUGCCUAUUACCACCCCCACCCCCCCGGUCCUGAUUUUUCACAGUUGAUAUCUGGUCACUCUAGAUGCAGCUCAUGACAGAGAGGUUUUGAUCAGGGCUGUGGUGAGAGCUGAAUCGGGCAGGUGUAGUCACACCAAAGCUACAGAGAGGGUGACUGUUAGCUCUAGACUCUGGGACAGGCUGCCUCCGGAUAUGCAGCCCAAAGGGCUCUUCGUCCAUCCCAGAUUCAGGCAAGUUCUGCUCAGCAGCCCCAGCCAAGUUUUCUCCAAGAGGUUCCUGGCAGAAUCCUGACCAACUCUCACCAGGUUCGGUUCCAAAUCUUAGUGAACGUGGGUUGAGACUAGGCAGAACUCUCGCUGGGUUGGACCGAGUUUUGCUUGGUGUUUUAUCUGCCUGUACGCAGCUUGGGCAGUGCCUGCAAGAGCAGCAUGGACUCCACUCCUGGGGCAAGACCUGGAACAUCAGCUUGUGCAGAAUGAGGGUGAAGCUACGGACAUGCCCCUAACCCGCCACACCCACUUUGAGAUGUGUAACAACAGCUGGCAUUGUCACUUCUCCUGUACUUGGCCCCAGCACAGCAUAACUGGUGGGGCUGUCAUUUCCCCUGGGGCUGGUGGGAAACCUGGCUUCCUGCUCCCUCUGUUGAGCAUCUGUGCAAAUACAUCUAACACACGGGGCACGUCUAUCGCAGGAAUAGUCUGUUCUCUGCAGACCGACCCUGGCUUCGGUGGAAGCAGGAUCCCUGCAGAUGCUGCUUCCAGGUUCAGACAUCUGCUCGAGACACUCUGCUCUGCAGAUUGUGCUGCCUGCAAAGCCGCUGAUCCAGAUGGCCUCCUGCCUUUUCCCAUUUGCCUGCUGGGACAAAUUAGAAAUGGGGCUGGAGAGGUAACAACCUUAUUGCCAAACGUCUGCUGGAGAGAGACAGCAUCUGGGCACUCAAGGGCGACAUGCUUCAGGCGCAAAGCUGCAUUCCUCCCGGCUAGAGGAGUCUGGGAAACAGACAAUGUGGAAGAGUCACAACUGGUAGCCUACACCUGCAGUAUGUGUUCAGCUCAAGUGCCUGAAGAAUGCGAGAUCCAUGUGUGCUCAGUCAAACCCACUCCUGGCUGCAACUCACAAGCCCCGGUCCCUGGAGAUAGCUCACUGGUGUCCACCGUCCCCCCAAGCCAACAAGAUCAGCUGGUGCAAGCGUUUGGCAGGGCGGAAAUUUGCCAGCUUCCUCCAUGGAUUUCCCCUGAUUAUUAUUAAUGAUUUUUAAUUUGAUGCUAAAGAGGUGAGGCCAUUGGUGCUGUUGGUAACAGCUGUCUCUGAUUAACCGUGCAUUUAGAAGUCAUUUUCAUUUAAAUCCCACAGCCAGCUAAUAACUCCCUUUGGAAGCUGCAUACGCCGUUGUGUCAACUGAAACAAAAAAUUCUUAAGUAGAAACAAAUUCAUCAUCAUCUGCUUAGUGCGAAUGCGUGUCCGCAAGAAAACCUCUGCCACAAGGGAGAGAGCAGGCCAGCCUUUGGAAAUACCAGUAAUGGGGGAGGCAGCUCGGAGCAGAACAAAUGGCUGUCCAAUUAAGAGACUCCGGACCAGAUUCUGACACCAUCAAACUGAUGUGAACCCAGGGCAACACCCAAUCUAGCCCUCUGCUCUUUUUUAAGGAUAUGGGUGAACGUGGUUAGCCCUGGGUAAUCUGUAAAUAAGGAACUGACAAUGCUGUCCCCACCUAGCCUCAGGGCAGGCAGGCACAAGGUAACACAGAGCUCUCUACAUGCACCUUCCAAGUCCACAUCAGGGGUUUUACCAAUGCACCAGUCCCAAAUACAGAGGUAAAACAGCCUCUCUACUCCUCCUCCUCAAAAUUCCAGGUUAUGAAUCCCAGGAUCUCAUUAGCUUUUUUGGCCAUCCCAUCGUACUGGGAGCACUUGUUCAGCUGAUUUUCCACCACGACCCUCAAAUCAUUUUCAGAGUCCCUGGCUUCCUAGGAUAGAGGCCCCCAUCCUCUAAGCAUGGCCAACAUUCUUUGUUCCUUCAUGUACAUAUUUACAUUUAGCCAUUUUAAAAUGCAUAUCUUUUGUUUGUGCCCAGUUUACAAAGGGAUCUAGAUCACUCUGAAUCAGUGACUUGCCCUCUUCAUUAUUUACCGCUCCCUCAAUUUUUAUGUCAUCUGCAAACUUCUUCCGUGAUGAUUUUAUGUUUUCUUCCAGGUCAUUGAUAAAAUGUUUAUGAGCAGAGGGCUUAGAACCAAUUCCUGGGGGACCCCACUAGAAACACUCCCCUCAACUAUGAAUCCUCAUUUACAGUUACAUUUUGAGCCCAGCUAGCCAGUUUUUAAUCCAUUUAAUGUGUGCCACAUAAUUUUAUAUCAUUUUAGUUUUUUAAUCAAAAUAUCGUGUGGUACGAAGUCAAAUGCCUUGCAGAAAUUUAAGUAUAUUAUGUCAACACUAUUACCUUUAUUGACCAAGUUGGUAAUCUUUUAAAAAAAUCAAGUAAGUUUGACAGGAUCUAUUUUCCAUAAACCCAUAUUGAUUUGCAUUAAUUACAUUACCCUCCUUUAAUUCUUCACUAAUUGAGACCAAUAUCAUCUGCACCAUUUUCUUGCCUUGCACUCAUGUCAGACUGACUGGCCUAUGAUAGCCUGGGCAAUCCCAUUUACCCUUUUCUAAAUUAGCACAUUAGCUUUCAUCCAGUUUUCUGAAACUUCCCCAGUGCUCCAAGACUUAUUGAAAAGCAACAUUAAUGGUCCAACAAGCUCCAUGGAGAGCUCUUUGAAAACUCUUGGAGGCAAGUUAUCUGGACCUGCUGAUUUAAAAAUGUCUAACUUGAGUAGUUUCUGUUUAACAUCCUCCUGAGAUACUAGAGGAAUGAAAAGAGUGUAACCAUCACCAUAUGCUGGGACAAGAUGAUCUGUUUUUCCCCAAUACACAACAGAAAUAUUUAUUGAACACUUCUCUCUUUUCUGCACCAUUAUUGAUAAUUCAACUAUUUCUGUCUAGUAAUGGAUCAAUACAAUUGUCAAGAUUCUUUUUGUUCCAAAUAUAACUUAAGGAAAAUAAGGAGUUUAUCUCCACAGGCCAUAGAUUUCUUCUUGUGUGCCUUCACUUCCCUUAUCAAUUUUCUACAGUUUCUAACAUCUGAUUUAUAUUCAUUACUAUCAACUUCCUCUUUGAUGGGUGGGGCUUAGACUCCACCCCUUCCUGGGCAUUUCCAACUGGCUAGCUCCCUGCUCAAUAUGCUGGCUUCUGUUAAUCCCAUUUUGGAUGCCUAACUCUCCCUGUGCAUUAUACAGGGAGCCUGGGCACCUAACUCCGGGCUGUGAAUUCCAUUCGGCAGUACAGCACCUAAAAGUUAAGCAUUGCAAUGCUUAAGUACUUUAUGAAUCUAGCCCAAAGUGUUUAAAGAAGUGAUAAAGCAUUAUUUUGAACUUUUUUGUAUACACAGACAUAGAUAGAUAUACACACAGGUCUUUUGAAAAACAAUGAAUGCAUUCACACUGACUAAACUUCAAAGCUCUUUUUUCCCUGCAGGACAUAGCUGUUCUGAUUUUAAAUCACUGCUGUUUUUCAGAAGGGUACCAAAAUGCCCCCCCAAAAAGCAUUAUUAAUUUUAAAAGUGAAUGUUUACUCGUUUUAUUCUUCCACAUAGCACAGAUUUAAUAUUAAAACCAUGCAAAGCGUUUGAAAGUCUAAUUUAGUUUUCAUGCCCUAUGCUUCAUGUUUUACUUUGGCACUGCCCUCCUACCUACUGCAUAUAAACAAGUCAUUUGCACUUUCCAUUUCUGUUUCACUUUCUUGUCCUCACACACUGAGGGCAGGUGUACGCUUAAAAAGCUGGACCACUGCAGCACUUUAGUGAAGAUGCUACUACGACCUUCUCCCGUCAGUGUAGUUAAUCCACUUCCCUGAGAGGCAGGUGCUGUGUUAACAGGAGAAGUUCUCCUGUCAACAUAGAGCUGUCUACACCGGGGGUUAGGUCAGUAUAACUGUGUCACUCAGGGGUGUGGAUUCUUCACACCCCUAAGCGAUGUAGUUAUACCGAUGUAAGUUUGUGGUGUAGACCUGGCCCGAGUAGGACGAUGCUGAAAGCAUUGGGUCUUCCAGUGCUGCAGCAGAUUACUUUCCGCAACCCUUCAUUUACCUUAGUUAAGAUUAAUCACCACUUUCUAUUUGCAUCCGUUUUUAGAAAGUGUUUUAAUUACUGGGGCCUAAAAUUAUUUGCCAGUGUCCCCUGAAAGAAAAGUCGAGUGCUGUGAAGAAACUCUACAAAUAAAUCCCAACCCAUUCAAACAGAAAAGUCAGAAACUGUAAUUAAUUACCAGACUCCCAGUGGCAGGACCCACAGUAGCUUCAUUAGGAGAAGGAAUCAGAACUAUACUCUUCCCAACUAUAAGGGUGUUUUUACUCCAGUCAGAGUUUACUUAAGGUAAAGCCAACUGAUCUAAAUGUUCCCACUUCGAGAGUAUGUCAUUAAUUAUGUAUCUAGCAAGAAAUGAAAAAAACUUGCUUCUUUUUCAUCUGGCAUUGGAAGGUUUUCUGAUAGCAAAAGAGAAAGAAAGAGAGAAAGAAAGAAAGAUGGAGAGAUUCAUCUGACAACAUUAAAUACAUUGGGCUACUGGUGUGAAAGUCAGGUUGCAGAUUAUACUUACUUUCAAAAAAGUGAUUUCACAUGACAUUGCAAUCCCAAAGGCUUAAAAAAAGGACAAAUACAAAAAAAAAAUCUUAUAAUAUUGUGGACUAUUAGUGAUUUUUGAUUUUCCCCUUACUUUCCCCCUUUUUCAGUGGCAAAAUGGGGUGAAAGGGAAAAAUACCAAAAGGCAAAAAAACAAACAAACCCCAAAACACUGGGAGAGAAUUUGUUUGUAAAACUCAGCAUUUUAAAAAAACAAAAAUGCAUUCCGUUUUGAAAACCGCAGAGUGAAAGUUAUACCCAAAUCUUCUGCAAAAAAAUGUAUUCACAUAUUUCAACCUGCUCUGCUUAGAAUACCCUGGAUAAGAUAAGGUAACAUACACUGGUGAGGCAAUGGUUAUAGAAUGAAUUUUUCCUCUCUAAUUCAUCAUGAAUCAGAGGGGUAUUUAUGGGUGGGCAAAGUUGACAAAUGACUACUGGGCCUUCCUUGGCCCCAGUCCUGCAAGAUGGGGAGUUUCUCCUGGGAGCUGCUGAGCACCCAUAAAUUCAUUUGAGAUCAACGAGAGGUGAGAGUAAAGCAACCCCUCCCUAGAGGUGAUCUGUGCCUUGCAAGAUUGAGCCCUUAGUGAAGAGACUUCAGGGACUCUUAAUCAGUGUCUCUGCAUUUGAGCCCCCUUCAAUUCCCCCUCCCCCAGCCUUUACUCCCUGGACUUUUAUCCUUAAUGCCACACCUGUUGAGAAGCCAUCACUUCCUUUAUCACCACAACCAGUGAUUGUGCACAGAAACUUUCUACAACAGAAAUGUUUCUAGUCAGCCUACUCUGCUACCCUGUUUCAUUAGUUAAUGCCCCACCAACACUAAGGCAGCACACAAUCAUGAAUGAGACCAACCGAAUUUAACAGGGAUUUAUAGAAACUUAGUAGGGUUCUACAGAAAUUAAUAGAAGAUGAGAUCCUCUGUAUAGGGACCAUCCUAUAGAACUGGACAGCAAGGAUUCUCUAUUCAAUUCUAUGAGGGUUAAAAAAACAGAGGAAGUGGAUAGAUUUCUAUAAAAUUCGGUAGGGUAUUUCCCAACUGGUUGUUCUCAGGGUGAAGAGCUUCGAGGUCAAACACUGCUCAGGCACAUAGAGAGGUAAGGAAAGCAGACUGUAAGAGUUUUUCGUGCACGUAAUGUAACACAUGCAUAUUCUAUACUAUCUACAGACAGCGGGUGUAUUUUGGGUUGAACAUGGUAUUGGAUCUUUGAAGGGAAAGUGCAAAUUUUACUCUCCUGUACAUAGGUAUAAGUAGCCUUUGGAUAUUUCUGUGCAUGAUAUCUGGAUUAAAUUCCUGUGGGGAAACCUCUAUGAAAAGCAGAAAAGUGCAGCAGCUUUUGUUAGUUCCUGAAUUGUCUUUAAACAUUCAAUGGCCUGAGAUGCAGGGACUUUGAAAUUCAAAACAUUGGAGGUGGAUCUGUUCUUACUUUCGGGUCACACUGAAUCACAGUCUGUCAGCGAAAGAGGGGCAUUAGUGCAACAGAAAUAAAUUCAUUUUAAAAGCAAAGCUAAUAUUUGUAGGGUUUUUUCCCCAUCAUUUUUAUGUCAUCGGACCUGAGUAAGAUUACAGGGUUCUGACCUGUAUAGAAUCAGGUGAUAAAUGCCAGCGUAGUUCAUAGCUCUUCUGUAGCAUUUCACAUCUCUAAGGUUCUAUAGAAACAGUCAAAUCCUACAGCAUUCUGCACUAUCACAUACAUUGGUAGGAGAAUUUAGGACUAGAGAAUCAGCUGCAAGAAAUCAUGCCAAGCAAACGAAAACUCAGGCAGGCAUGACCCAGCCAGCCACACUGGAACAAAUUCUCACUAUUACUCCAUGCAAAUCUUGGGGGAGCAUUUAGCCAGAGAGGGGCAAUGGAAGCAAUCUGAAGGCAGCAAUUUGACCAAGACCAUUCACAUCAUGGGGAAGAGGACGUUAAUUAAAACCAGUCACAGGAGAGAAACAGGCCACUGGGAAAAGGUGUUGAACCAAGUGGAAGGCUGACAAAAAAAUUUAACUCAAUUCCUGCGGCUUUGGUGCCCAAACCCAUCAAACAUUUCAUGUUGUAAAGAGAUCAUGGAGGUAAAUAUCCUGAUAAUCCCACUUAUUGCACCAGGCAUCAGCUCUGUUUGUGCAAACCCUCUAGAGAGGCCUCCAGCUGAGCCAGUGAAUGAAGCCAACAAAAAAGGGAAGGCAAGAUUUGGCUACUUUUGCACAUGCCAGUUUCUUUGAAUGCCUGGCUUGUCAUGCAAGAACCCUAAACUAAUGGGCAACUUUAACAUUUCAGUGCCAGCAACAGAGAAUAAAGGAGCUAUUAUUUACUGCUUAGUGUCAUGCAGUUUUCAAUGUACGGAGUAUCACCAUAUUCAUAGAUUCCAAAGCCAGAAGGAACCAUUAUGAUCAUCUAGUCUGACCUCCUGUAUAACACAGGCCCAAAAUAAUUCCUAGAGCCGAGCUUUUAGAAAAACAUCCCAUCUUGCUUUGAAAAUUGUCAGCGAUGGAGACUCCACCACGACCCUUGGUAAGUUGUUCCAAUGGUUAGUUACUUACACCUGUCACAGGUUCCGCACAGGCUUCCACCUCCUCGUGCCUGUGCCCUGUGUUGGCCGGCCAA